AUUGAACGCUGGCGGCAUGCUUUACACAUGCAAGUCGAACGGUAACAGGCCGCAAGGUGCUGACGAGUGGCGAACGGGUGAGUAAUGCAUCGGAACGUGCCCAGUCGUGGGGGAUAACGCAGCGAAAGCUGUGCUAAUACCGCAUACGAUCUAUGGAUGAAAGCGGGGGACCGUAAGGCCUCGCGCGAUUGGAGCGGCCGAUGUCAGAUUAGGUAGUUGGUGGGGUAAAGGCCCACCAAGCCAACGAUCUGUAGCUGGUCUGAGAGGACGACCAGCCACACUGGGACUGAGACACGGCCCAGACUCCUACGGGAGGCAGCAGUGGGGAAUUUUGGACAAUGGGCGCAAGCCUGAUCCAGCAAUGCCGCGUGCAGGAAGAAGGCCUUCGGGUUGUAAACUGCUUUUGUACGGAACGAAAAGGUCUGGGUUAAUACCCUGGGCCGAUGACGGUACCGUAAGAAUAAGCACCGGCUAACUACGUGCCAGCAGCCGCCGUAA
rnacentral:rRNA from 1 species